rnacentral:tRNA from 1 species
CGGGAAGUAGCUCAGCUUGGUAGAGCACAUGGUUUGGGACCAUGGGGUCGCAGGUUCGAAUCCUGCUUCCCGACCA